CAAUAGCGUAUAUUUAAGUUGUUGCAGUUAAAAAGCUCGUAGUCGGAUUUUGGCUGAGAACGAACGGUCCGCCGUUAGGUGUGCACUGUUUGGUCUCAGCUUCCUGGUGAGGAGGUGUGCUUCACGGCCACUUAGUCACCGUGGUUACUUUGAAAAAAUUAGAGUGUUCAAAGCGGGCUUACGCUUGAAUAUAUUAGCAUGGAAUAACACCAUAGGACUCCUGUCCUAUUUCGUUGGUCUCGGGACGGGAGUAAUGAUUAAGAGGAACAGUUGGGGGCAUUCGUAUUUCAUUGUCAGAGGUGAAAUUCUUGGAUUUAUGAAAGACGAACUUCUGUGAAAGCAUUUGCCAAGGAUGUUUUCAUUGA
rnacentral:rRNA from 1 species